GUUCGUAUGGUCAAGUGGUUACGACGUCGCAUUGUGGUUCAGCGCCUUAUCGGCGUUAACGACGCUGCGGAAUCCCGUGUUCGAUUCACGGUACGGACA